rnacentral:rRNA from 1 species
UACGUAGGGGGCUAGCGUUGUCCGGAAUCAUUGGGCGUAAAGCGCGCGUAGGUGGCCCGGUAAGUCCGCUCUGAAAGUCACAGGCUCAACCUGUGAAAGCGGGUGGAUACUGCCGGGCUAGAGUCCGGAAGAGGCGGGUGGAAUUCCUGGUGUAGCGGUGGAAUGCGCAGAUAUCAGGAGGAACACCAACGGCGAAGGCAGCUCGCUGGGACGGUACUGACACUGAGGCGCGAAAGCGUGGGGAGCGAACAGG